rnacentral:rRNA from 1 species
AGAGUUUGAUCCUGGCUCAGGACGAACGCUGGCGGCGUGCCUAAUACAUGCAAGUAGAACGCUGAAGAGAGGAGCUUGCUCUUCUUGGAUGAGUUGCGAACGGGUGAGUAACGCGUAGGUAACCUGCCUUGUAGCGGGGGAUAACUAUUGGAAACGAUAGCUAAUACCGCAUAACAAUGGAUGACUCAUGUCAUUUAUUUGAAAGGGGCAAUUGCUCCACUACAAGAUGGACCUGCGUUGUAUUAGCUAGUAGGUGAGGUAACGGCUCACCUAGGCGACGAUACAUAGCCGACCUGAGAGGGUGAUCGGCCACACUGGGACUGAGACACGGCCCAGACUCCUACGGGAGGCAGCAGUAGGGAAUCUUCGGCAAUGGGGGCAACCCUGACCGAGCAACGCCGCGUGAGUGAAGAAGGUUUUCGGAUCGUAAAGCUCUGUUGUAAGUCAAGAACGAGUGUGAGAGUGGAAAGUUCACACUGUGACGGUAGCUUACCAGAAAGGGACGGCUAACUACGUGCCAGCAGCCGCGGUAAUACGUAGGUCCCGAGCGUUGUCCGGAUUUAUUGGGCGUAAAGCGAGCGCAGGCGGUUUGAUAAGUCUGAAGUUAAAGGCUGUGGCUCAACCAUAGUUCGCUUUGGAAACUGUCAAACUUGAGUGCAGAAGGGGAGAGUGGAAUUCCAUGUGUAGCGGUGAAAUGCGUAGAUAUAUGGAGGAACACCGGUGGCGAAAGCGGCUCUCUGGUCUGUAACUGACGCUGAGGCUCGAAAGCGUGGGGAGCGAACAGGAUUAGAUACCCUGGUAGUCCACGCCGUAAACGAUGAGUGCUAGGUGUUGGAUCCUUUCCGGGAUUCAGUGCCGCAGCUAACGCAUUAAGCACUCCGCCUGGGGAGUACGACCGCAAGGUUGAAACUCAAAGGAAUUGACGGGGGCCCGCACAAGCGGUGGAGCAUGUGGUUUAAUUCGAUGCAACGCGAAGAACCUUACCUGGUCUUGACAUCCACAGAACUUAGCAGAGAUGCUUUGGUGCCUUCGGGAACUGUGAGACAGGUGCUGCAUGGCUGUCGUCAGCUCGUGUUGUGAAAUGUUGGGUUAAGUCCCGCAACGAGCGCAACCCUUAUCCUUUGUUGCCAGCGGUCCGGCCGGGAACUCAAAGGAGACUGCCAGUGAUAAACUGGAGGAAGGUGGGGAUGACGUCAAGUCAUCAUGGCCCUUACGACCAGGGCUACACACGUGCUACAAUGGCGCAUACAAAGAGAAGCGACCUCGCGAGAGCAAGCGGACCUCAUAAAGUGCGUCGUAGUCCGGAUUGGAGUCUGCAACUCGACUCCAUGAAGUCGGAAUCGCUAGUAAUCGUGGAUCAGAAUGCCACGGUGAAUACGUUCCCGGGCCUUGUACACACCGCCCGUCACACCAUGGGAGUGGGUUGCAAAAGAAGUAGGUAGCUUAACCUUCGGGAGGGCGCUUACCACUUUGUGAUUCAUGACUGGGGUGAAGUCGUAACAAGGUAACCGUAGGGGAACCUGCGGUUG